UACUAUAAGAACUCUGAUAUACCAUGGAUUUGACCCAUUUUCAUCCAUGGUAUAUAGGUGUUUUACUAUCUAUAUAUUAUAUAUUCUAUCCUAUUAGGUAUGUUUUCAGGUUCAGAAAUAUCUUGGAGUAAAGUGAUGAUUAUGGAGCAUUUAGGAGCUUAAAAGAGAUUUCAUCCGAGCUGACCAUUAGAGGUCGAUACGAAGAAGAAGAAAUCGAUCGAUUUACAUCUUGUACCAUCGAUUGAUGUCGAGACGCAGAACCCGCGACUUGGUUCCAGCCGACUUUAAACCCAAGGCUUCACAAAAUUACAAGAUUACCCCUGACGAGCUUUUAACCUAAUAGUUAUAUACUUGCCUAAGUGUUAGGAGGCAAAAGGAGAGUUUUUUUAGAGAGCUUUAUCCACCAUUGUAUUCUUACUUUUCAGAGGAGAGAAAAUAAUAGAGAGAUUUGUCUAUUGAUUCAUCUAUUUUAUCCUAUGCAGUUUUUAUCUAUAUUUUGUGUCAUGAAUUGCUUAGCUAUGUCUGAGUAGUUUACUUGUUAGAUUCAGGGUUCAAAUAGGUUAGAGGGAUUAGUCCCAACUAUAGAUUUGCUAAGUUGUGAUAUUCAUUGAUUGAUUGUUCUUAAUGCUUGUUUUAGCUUUGCUAACUAGAACAUGAACCUAGGAAUUUGCAUGUGUCAAGCAUUCUUGAUCAUCAUGUCCUGAAUCUAAUCUGUCAUGCUAGGACUGCUAGAGAGAGCUAACCGCUGAUCUAGGAGACUAGUGAAGAUUAUCAACCCACGCCUAGGGCUUAGCUAGAAGCAUCGAUCGAUAUUGUUAGUCGAGUAAUAGACUUGCUCAAUUAGCUGAUCACUGAAUAGAAACCAUGCAUAUAAUAUCUUCCAAUAAGUUACACCCCCAAUCAUCUUGUUAGUCGAGUAAUAGACUUGCUCAAUUAGGAUUGCUAUUUACUUUUAGACCCAUAAACCAACAAACACUUAGAAUUAAUAACUUUACUAGAUUUAAUAGGUUCCCUAGCGCCUUGUGGAUUCGAUCCCUAAGUACUGCAACUGAACCUCUUAUUUGAGAGACUAAUUCACUCCUUAGGGUAAUUUGAGUGGUAUCAAACUCGCAAAGGCGGUUCAAUCUCUUAUUCUACUCUUUCAAUAGAGCUACGUUCGGCUUGAUACCUCGAAAGGGAUAGUCUAACGAACUAAGUCAUAGGCGAUUUUUCAUGUCUCGAUAUAUCUUUCCAUAACAGUUUAGCCAGGUCUUUCAAACCGAUCUAAACUCUCAGAAAAAUUGAGAAACGAUUGCCACGCAUAUUCAGCUCGCUUUCUAAAGAAAGAAAGAAGUAUAGACACGAACGUCAUCUUAAUACCAAUUCGUAUCUAGCGAUUUUUUUAAAACCGGCAUAUUCCAAGUCGUCAACCUGAAAACAACCAAAUCACAGUCCUAGCAUCGUCUUUAAAUCGACACGGAUUGUCGAUCAUUACGAUCCUCGGAAGAAGAAACGUACACAACCCUUCAAAGUAUCGGUUCAACCGUUUUCUUUCGUAAAAAAGGGGGGGGAGCAGGUACGUAUACUACACUCAUAUACUCCCAAACUUUAAAAAAUCUUUCCUCGUCAUCAAGAAAACGCUUUUGUCAAAGCAAACUCUUGAAACAAUAGGCAAUACGAUGCCACACUAAAAUCGUCCCAAAAAGGCAAACGACAAUCUAAAAUUUGUCCAAACGCCAGCAACAUACCCAAACGAUCAUGAACAUAAUCUCAAUGACUAUACAUCAUUUCUUGUCACAAUCAUGCUUAUAGAAAACAUGUACGAAUAUCAAACUGAAACUCGACGAUUAGCCAAAGUCUUGAAACCCUUUCCGGCUCUAUAAAGCCAGUUUCGUAUAAUAAAAAAAUUACGAGAAAUCUUCAAGUAUCAAAGCAUUUCUUUCAGUUUCCGUUGAACCAAGUGAGUCACGGAAAAGCAUCGAAAACAUUUGCGACGAAGAAAACUCAAGAAUAAAAGUAGCAGCAAGCACAUUAAAGGGAACAAUUUCUUUCUGAUUGUUGGCUAGACCUACCACUGGUUGACCCAUUCGUUCCAGAAACGAAUAUGCCAUAAGAAUCCUCUCAAAAGCCUAUAAAAAACGUUCUGCGACUAGAUCGUGGAGAUAUAAACUUUGGUAACACUCCAUAAGUAACUCCAAGCAACUUUCACAAAAUAUCGAAUUCAAAGCAGAAACGUUUCUCGUAAAACCCGCAAAAACAACGCUACUUUGACAUGUGUAUACAUAUCACCGAUUUACAACCUUCGUAAAACCGGUCGCCCAUUACUUACGCGAAAAAUCCUUCGUACAAUCAGAUCAAGUCAUACGAAGAAACUUUCAAAAGUAAACAUAAUAGGUUUUACGAAGGAGUAUUUUUCGGAUAGCAAAUACAAAGCUGUAAGAUCUGACUUUGGAUGAUCAAUCUAAAGAGAGAUUUCUUUGCAUUACGAUCUAAUAGAUCUCAUUUUUACCCAUGCGGCUUGCUGGCUUCUGCCUUUCUUUCCCCUCGGUCACAUCCGAGAAGGCAAUCAUCCCGCAACUGACUCCGCACUGGUUAUGUACCAAACCUCUUAGGAUUCCUCUUCGUCAGACAAAAACGAAUCAAUUUUCAUAAGACUAUAGGUAACAUUAUACGAAGCAUUCAUCGUAUAACUGAAACCUAAAGUGGAGAAUCGUUUUCUACGACUAUCGUUCAUCUUAACACAGAUAACCCCGACAAACUUGGCCUUUCAAUCUCGACAAACGCUCUUUGACCCUCGGUCAAUUACGCCUUCCAGUAAAAUUCUGAACAAGAAUUCGGCAUGCCCUAUAAGGACAAUUGUAAACUAACAUGAUCUUCAUGUUAACACGAAAGUACCAUGGUCUAAUCUUUGACCUACAACGUCCUUGGCUAUCUGAGUGAACACAUCCUUCACGCCAAGCCAAAGUAUUUGAGUAACCAUCGCUCCAUCACUUAACGGUUAAACGACAAUCUGCGAUUUGUCUAAAAACGUCAUGUGACUAUUAAGAAAAUAAUUAUCAUAUAACCCA